UAGACUAAUUCAAAAACUAAGCCACAAAAAGCCUGCCAGGAUGUCGAGUAAUGUCCUGUGGGCGCGGUCCACGCCGUGUUUAAUGCGCUGUUCUACCUGCGUUCGCUGGUUGUCCGGAGAUGCUUCAAGGGCGGUUACCUGGAACGCUGUCUCGACAGCCCUGCGUCCCUUCUACUUCAUCGUGCAUCCCGACAUGUUCUGGAAUCAUCCCGCUGAAAAACAGACGAACGAGAACUCCCUGAAACAACUCAACGCUUACAUCGAAUCCCUGUUGCAGAAGCAGACGGCGAGGCCAUUGAACCUAAACUUCUAUCUGCGUGAUACAAAACCCGCGACCUUGCCUCAGCAGCCGUUCAAGAACGUACAGAUCAAGCUCGCUAGUCAAAACGUCCACGCUACCGUGCAUAACGUCCUAACGUCGUGCAGCCUUCCUACUGAUAACCUUGAUUCGCUUAAUCCGAAACCGCAAUCGAAAUCAGCCAGUGGCAGGCCGGAGCACAGGCAGUCACCGACGUCUGCAAGAUACGAAUACGAGCCUCCCGUGAACGAUGACUUCUUUUCACGUCACGAAUGGACGGUGGAUGGCCGACCCGUUUAUAAUCUGGAGAGGUUCUUGCGCGAAAACAUCAACACCGCUCGCGAACGUUCGGCUGCGAGCGGCCCCGCUCGGGAAGAAGCGUUUCGCCUAUCCAAGGAGACGGUUGCCGAGCUGAGCCUCGAGGACCUUCGCUGGGAGUGUGACUGGGGAUCGGGUCACUACCGCGGAUCUCUCGAGAGCUUCCGGCGACUGUGCCAACAGCACCCCGAAGUGGCUGCCAGCAUACGCGGCCGCACGCUGAUACUUGGCAGAACAACGGGCGUCUCGCUCGACGGCCACAUCGUGCUGAGCAUCGAGGACGUGCGCCACAGUUGGCUGUCGCUGCUACGUUCGCUGGCCCGCUACGACGCUUACGUGAGGCUGGUGCCACCCGCCGAGCGCGCUCUGUCGGAGGCGUUACGCGGGAUUUGUGUCGAACACCGCAGGUUCAAGCCGGCUGUGGCAGCUAAGGCGUAUUUGCAGCAGCUGAGCAAGCUAACUAUGGCGCUGCAGAGACACAUCUGGAUCAAGGGCCUCCCUGGCGAUUGGCCAGCACGUCUCACAGAUCACCAGUUGGGUGUCGAGUGUGAAGCAGGCCCUCUAAUGCUGUCCCCUACGGGACAGUUCUUGGCUCCGGCCUCCUGCCCACCAGCGCUCCUCGUGGAUUUUAUUGGCUCACGGUUGUUUACGGCAGAACAGAGACGUCUCCUUUACAUGAGCCAGCGGCGCACCGAAACACUACUGCAUCAGCUGUGUGUCGAAACACUAAAUCUGGAGUCGCUUUCGAAAGAAGAUGAUGUUACGCCAGAUCGGAUGACGCUUUGCUGCGAGCGGCUCCUCAGGGCAGCCUUUUGGCUAGAACCAUUGCUAAGUGGCUGCCGUCUCCACGUGUCCCACUACUGCAGUGUCCUUCAAGACGGCCUCAUCUGCCUACCCUGGGACUGGCAUGAGUAGUGGGAAUGGCCUCUGCUAAGCACCAUUCAAUAGACUGCAGCCUAGAAACAUGUCACAACAAAAGCCAUAGGAGUGUGGAUGACACUGCAAGCUGUCAUGAAUGAUUGUUCUUGCUUGAAACCAUGGCGUAAACACUCCAUAUUUGGAAGUGAAAAGAAGCAUGUCUUGUAUCAAGUGCUUUCAAGCGUAGUUCUAGGUUUUAAUAGGUUGUGCAUGUGCUGGCUGUGUAAGUGUGGCAAUGGUUAAUUUCUAAUUAUGUUGUACAAACACGCCAGAUAUAAUUGAGUAUCUGCAGGGUAGCAGGGAUUGAAAAAAAUGUCCCUUAUGCUUUUCUGGGUUUCAUAUGAUUGCAGCUGCGAAGAGCUACAUAAGGAAAUGAUGUCUAUAAAACUCAGCCGUACUAUGUGUACUAUGCACGAUAGCAAGCAGUCAGGACAGGCAGUUAUCCAGUGUCAGGACUUUUUUUAGGGGGAAAAGUUUGCACCUCUGCUCAGCAAGUUGUUAAUAACUACAUGUAUUAAUCCAGUUUACUUGCAGCAUGUCCCCAUUGUGAUGCACUCAGGAUUUAUAAAUGCAACUUUCAUUAACACAUACAUGGUUAGAGAGAAAAAAUGGGAAGGGAAUCCAUUUAACCUUCCGAUUGGUAAUCCAGCAAAAAAACCUGCUUGGCAUGAAAGCUUGUUUUCGCACAAGUUUUUGUGCACAAAUGGAGCUGCAGUGAAAUGUAACUAAACAUUGCUCACAGCUCUGUGUGAUAUGCAGGACUUUAGCAGUACUACAGUUGAUGCUCAGAAAACUGUAAACAAAGGCAAACAUUUUAUUUAUUAAAGUACAUGUUUUACAAGUGU
rnacentral:misc_RNA from 1 species